AUUGAACGCUGGCGGCAGGCUUAACACAUGCAAGUCGAGCGAGCGGCGGACGGGUGAGUAAUGUCUGGGAAACUGCCUGAUGGAGGGGGAUAACUACUGGAAAUGGUAGCUAAUACCGCAAACUCUCAGAUGUGCCCAGAUGGGCUUAGCUAGUUGGUGGGGUAAGGGCUCACCUAGGCCACGAUCCCUAGCUGGUCUGAGAGGAUGACCCGCCACACUGGAACUGUGACACGGUCCAGACUCCUACGGGAGCCAGCAGUGGGGAAUAUUGCACAUGGGGGGCAGCCCGGAUGAAGCCAUGCCGCGUGUGUGAAGAAGGCCUUCGGGUUGUAAACCACUUUCAGCGAGAAGGCGUUACUCGCAGAGGAAGCACCGGCUAACUCCGUGCCAGCAGCCGCGGUAAUAC
rnacentral:rRNA from 1 species